CGAUGGUACUGAAAACAAUUAACGUUUAUGACGUCAUAGUACUGCUACGAUGCCGCUCCAUGCCAAAUCAAACAAAUCAAUGAAGUUCUCGAUACUUGGGUACCAGUUAUAUGUUUUAUUGAAAUCUAAUAAAGUGGCACACGAAAGGCUUGACUAACAACUGUAAAACACUUUAUCCGAUCAAAACAAGGAGAGCACGGCGGUUGUGACUGGUCGACGGAGGACGUUUACUCCUACAUUAGACCUGAUUCCACUACUGAUGCUUUGAGACGCUCUGCUGUUGACUUGUAUUAUUACAUUUGUAUUGUUUCAAAUGACUUUGAGCUUGAUUACUGUUUGUUAUCUCCACGUUAAAAAAAUGGGUCCUUUGAAAGACAGACCGUCUUCUGGGGCAAGGUGUGCAUCAAUGUCUGUAAACUUAACUUUUUCUUACGGAAUACGGAGAUUAACAGAUCGUUCAGUUUCCGUCUAAAUGCUCUUCCAUUGAUUUGUAUUGUUUAUACGGACUUUUGAGAUGGAAAUUGUGUUCCUUAUCUUCAUUAUUUCAAACUGAAACUAUCGGUAUGACUGGGCUUAUGCAGUGUUUCAGGGACAAAAUUGUUUUCAAAUGGUAAUGAAAUCACUAUAAUCAUCAUGAAGAAUAAGUAUUUAAAUUUAAUUUAAAAAAUGAUAUAUUGAACAUAAAAUUAUUUUCUAAUGUUUUUAUUUUCUUGGUAGAAAGUUAUAAACAUGAGUAAUGCGCCAUAAACCCAGAAAACUUACCAAAAUUUACAAAAAAAAAAACAAUAUUAGACAGAGACAAAAUCCCCAGACAAACAUAACACUAACAUUAUUUUAAAAUUCUUUUACUUUUAAAUAUUCUACCUUUUUCUGAUUUUUUUUUCGUCUUAAGGAAAUUAUGAUAAAGAGCUGAAGAAUAGAGACACUGGAUAAAGACAGAAGCAAACUUAAAUACUUGGCUAAAAAAUGAAAAUAUGGUCAAAAACUAGAUAUCACGUAAGGGUUUUCAGUCUUAUUAAAUAAUAUCUGUUUUGUAGAAAUAAAGUAGGCAGAGUUUUCUUAAGAAAAAUUAUUUACUGCCAUAGUAUUUAUUUUGAUUUUUUAAAAAUUAUCUUUGAUAUACUAUUUGAUGAAAACAUGGACAAUAAAUUAUCUACUUUCGUAAACUUAUAUAAAUGAUUUAACCAGAAAAAAAAAUCAUUACCCCCCAAAAAAAUAUAUAUAUGAGAUUUGAUGGUUGAUUAGUUUUCGAUGGCUGAGGGAAAUUGAUGUACGUAUGUUUUUAUCUUUUUUUGACGUUGUACGCGUUUGACUUUAAAUUGUUUUGGAU